rnacentral:rRNA from 1 species
GACGAACGCUGGCGGCGUGCUUAACACAUGCAAGUCGAACGGAAAGGCCCUGCUUUUGUGGGGUGCUCGAGUGGCGAACGGGUGAGUAACACGUGAGUAACCUGCCCUUGACUUUGGGAUAACUUCAGGAAACUGGGGCUAAUACCGGAUAGGAUCUCCUGCUGCAUGGUGGGGGUUGGAAAGUUUCGGCGGUUGGGGAUGGACUCGCGGCUUAUCAGCUUGUUGGUGGGGUAGUGGCUUUCCAAGGCUUUGACGGGUAGCCGGCCUGAGAGGGUGACCGGCCACAUUGCGACUGAGAGACGGCGCAGAAUGCUACGGGAGGCAGCAGGGGGGAAUAUUGCACAAUGGGCGGAAGUCUGAUGCAGCAACGCCGCGUGCGGGAUGACGGCCUUCGGGUUGUAAACAGCUUUCGACUGAGACGAAGCGUGAGUGACGGUAAUGGGUAAAGAAGCACCGGCUAACUACGUG